rnacentral:tRNA from 1 species
UCGGCGAGUAGCGCAGCCGGGUAGCGCAACUGGUUUAAAACCAGUGGGUCGAAAGUUCGAAUCCUCUCUCGCCGAAC